AAUGUGCUUCUAGUCCUAGGUGAAAAGUCGAGGCUUUUUUCUAAGGAUGAUCUUGGUGGCCCCAUGUAGGUUGGCGUAGGCUACUACUCCUUUGGUUGAUAGGUUUUACAAGGUUGGGAUGACUUGCAUUGGCAGGUGAGGGAGGAGGUUGAGAAACUAGGACAAGAGCUUUACAAGAAGACAUGUGAGCCUUAAAUAAUGACCGAGACUCCUCCAAUAGGGAAUUGCUGGCACCUCUUGAAACUGGAUGAGAUGGGUCGAUUUCUCGAGUCCUUAUUAUAUUCUUUCGAGUCUAACAAAUGCAAAGACCGGAGAUGGAAGCCUUCAACCUUAGAGAAGGUAACAUGUUUAUCAAAAUUGUGGGGUCAAAUGUGUCCACAAGGUUAUUAGACAACGUUGAGACACUAGUGCGACGUCUUAUGCUAUGCACUCCCCCAAGAAAAAGCUUGUCUGCUCGAUGCCAUACAAAACGUUGCAUCAGUAACAUCGCAACGUUGUAUCGAUUUCCUUGAAGAAAAGGUACUUUUUCAACUGGAUGUUAUAUGGUGAAAAUUUAAAUUCGAUGAGUGAUUAUUUUUGUGUAUGUAUUCAUUAUUUGGUGCUUCAAAAUAAGAAUAGCAAUGACACUUUUUUAGAGAUAUUUGUAUCGUGAGAGAGGAGCUUAGUGGAUUAGAGGUAACUCAAAGCUCUACCCAUACCUAAUCUCAGUCUCGAGAAGAAGAUUAGAUGUAGUCCCAAGUUUGAACUGAACCAAUAAAAACUUUAAGAAAGAUUUGCUUCGAACUCCGAAAGGAAAAUCAUUUAGAUCGUAUU